rnacentral:misc_RNA from 1 species
GAUGAAGAACGUAGUGAAAUGCGAUAAGUAGUGUGAAUUGCAGAAUUCAGUGAAUCAUCGAAUCUUUGAACGCACAUUGCGCCCUUUGGUAUUCCUUAGGGCAUGCCUGUUCGAGCGUCAUUUAAACCUUCAAGCUCAGCUUGGUGUUGGGUGACUGUCCGCUUCACCGCGGACUCGCCUCAAAAUUAUUGGCGGCCGGUACAUUGGCUUCGAGCGCAGCAGAAACGCGAACUCGGGCCCGUCGUAUUGGCUCCCAGAAGCUAUCUUCACAAUUUUGACCUCGGAUCAGGUAGGGAUACCCGCUGAACUUAAGCAUAUCAAUAGCGGAGGA